rnacentral:misc_RNA from 1 species
GUGAAUCAUCGAAUUUUUGAACGCAAAUUGCACUCUCUGGUAUUCCGGAGAGUAUGCCUGUUUGAGGGUCAGUUAAAUAAAAAUCGGGGUUUUUGCCACCUUUGGUGGUGAAGCCACGGAAUUGGGUUGUUUUUACCUUCCGGUAAGGGGCCUUAAAAUUUUCGAAUGUUAUUUGAACGUAUUUAAAUUUAUUUGGCAUGCCUUGUCAUUAUGAAUGUCUAUUUGUAGUGGUCAUCAUCAUGAC